rnacentral:rRNA from 1 species
UUCGACCUGAGGUCAGGCAAGAACACCCGCUGAAC